UACGAAGGGGGCUAGCGUUGCUCGGAUUGACUGGGCGUAAAGGGCGCGUAGGCGGUUCGUACAGUCAGACGUGAAAUUCCUGGGCUCAACCUGGGGGCUGCGUUUGAUACGUGCGGACUUGAGUGCGGAAGAGGGUCGUGGAAUUCCCAGUGUAGAGGUGAAAUUCGUAGAUAUUGGGAAGAACACCGGUGGCGAAGGCGGCGACCUGGUCCGAUACUGACGCUGAGGCGCGAAAGCGUGGGGAUCAAACAGG
rnacentral:rRNA from 1 species